AAAGCAGCAGGUCAGGGCGUUUUGCCUAGUUGUCUUGUAAACAGGUGGUUAGGGGUUCGAGUCCCCUCGCCA
rnacentral:tRNA from 1 species